UGGGGAAUAUUGCGCAAUGGGCGAAAGCCUGACGCAGCAACGCCGCGUGGAGGUAGAAGGCCCACGGGUCGUGAACUUCUUUUCUCGGAGAAGAAACAAUGACGGUAUCUGAGGAAUAAGCAUCGGCUAACUCUGUGCCAGCAGCCGCGGUAAGACAGAGGAUACAAGCGUUAUCCGGAAUGAUUGGGCGUAAAGCGUCUGUAGGUGGCUUUUCAAGUCCGCCGUCAAAUCCCAGGGCUCAACCCUGGACAGGCGGUGGAAACUACCAAGCUGGAGUACGGUAGGGGCAGAGGGAAUUUCCGGUGGAGCGGUGAAAUGCGUAGAUAUUGGGAAGAACACCAGUGGCGAAGGCGGCUCACUGGCCAGUUUCUGACGCUAAAGUGCGAAAGCGUGGGGAUCAAACAGGAUUAGAUACCCACGUAGUCCCUGAGCGGGCUGGCAAGGCGCAU
rnacentral:rRNA from 1 species